rnacentral:rRNA from 1 species
CACGCAGGCGGCAUCGUAAGUCCGUUGUGAAAUACCUCGGCUCAACCGAGGAACUGCAGCGGAUACUACGAAGCUAGAGGACGGUAGGGGAGAGUGGAACUCUUGGUGGAGCGGUGAAAUGCGUAGAUAUCAGGAGGAACACCGAUGGCGAAGGCAACUCUCUGGUCCGUUUCUGACGCUGAGGUGCGAAAGCCAGGGUAGCGAACAGGAUUAGAUACCCUGGUAGUCC